CAGUAGCCACGGGAAUACGAAGGGUGCAAGCGUUAAUCGGAAUUACUGGGCGUAAAGCGUGCGUAGGUGGUGGUUUAAGUCCGUUGUGAAAGCCCUGGGCUCAACCUGGGAAUUGCAGUGGAUACUGGGUCACUAGAGUGUGGUAGAGGAUAGUGGAAUUUCCGGUGUAGCAGUGAAAUGCGUAGAGAUCGGAAGGAACAUCUGUGGCGAAGGCGACUAUCUGGGCCAACACUGACACUGAGGCACGAAAGCGUGGGGAGCAAACAGGAUUAGAUACCCGAGUAGUCCCUGUCUCUUAUAC
rnacentral:rRNA from 1 species